rnacentral:rRNA from 1 species
UCGAGGAUCUUCGGCAAUGGGCGCAAGCCUGACCGAGCGACGCCGCGUGGGCGAUGAAGGCCUUCGGGUUGUAAAGCCCUGUCGUGAGGGAGAAAAGCGCAAGCUUGAUCGACCUCAGGAGGAAGCACGGGCUAAGUUCGUGCCAGCAGCCGCGGUAAGACGAACCGUGCGAACGUUGUUCGGAAUAACUGGGCUUAAAGGGCGCGUAGGCGGGUUCCUCAGUCCGGAGUGAAAGCCCACGGCUCAACCGUGGAAGUGCUUUGGAUACUGGGAACCUCGAGGGGGGUAGGGGCGCGCGGAACUUCCGGUGGAGCGGUGAAAUGCGUAGAUAUCGGAAGGAACACCGGUGGCGAAAGCGGCGCGCUGGACCCCCACUGACGCUGAUGCGCGAAAGCCAGGGGAGCAAACGG